AUGAGAAAGCUGAGGCAAACAUGGUUAAAUGACUCAAUCAAAAUAAAAGUGUCUGAGGCCAGAUUUGAACUUGAGAUGACUCUUCUUAGCUCCAAGACAAGCAUUCUAUCUGAUCUAUCACCUAGCUGCAUGUCUAAUAUCUAUUCAAUUCCUUUAGUAAUAUUUUUUACCAGCCCUGUGAGUUUUUUGAGGCAAGAAGCUCCAAGUAAGGGAUAUUUUUUUUUUAACCCAGGCAGAUUGGUACCAUCUCUUCAACUUAACGGUUGCCUAGAACACCGUGGUGUUCCACAACUUGCCCAGGGCCCUACAGACAUUAUGUAUCUGAAAUGGACCUUAAAAUCAGGUCUUCCUAACUCCUGGGUCAGCUCACUAUCCACUCACUAUGACAUAACACCUCAGGUUCCUGGAAAACAAGAAAUGAGGAGGCUGAAUAACUCUACAAAGAAUUAAAUAAGUCCCACAAUUUAAACAAGUAUACCUGUGUCCUUAAACCAAAGUUGAACAUGAGGGGCAACAGAAGAUGUUUAAAAUCAUGACACUGGAUCAAGAAAUCAAAUAGUCAAAAAUCUCAUGGAAAACACAGAAACUUUAUCCUUAGAUAUAGUCAGCCAAGAGAUGAGGAAAUCUAAUCCCAUGCCCAUCUACACUUUUAAUCAGUGCAAUUGUCUUUCAAUACAUAAUAUGAAGCUGAAGCUGUCUAGUUUUUUUUCUCCUUAAUUGACUCCAUUUGCUACAUCACCUUCCUCCAGACUUUAAACAACUAUACAAAAUUUUAUUCAACUGUUCAUUUGUAGAAUGAUCUUCUGUCCUUACUAUAGGCCCAAUCUCUAUAGAAAUCAUCCUCAAGGUCAGUUUCUCCGUUCUGCUUUAUAAAAUCUUAUUGUUAGAUUUAUUACUUUCUGAAACUAUUCAUAUCAAAUCAAAGGUUUCUUAUCUAAGAUAUUAUAAGCUGCAAUUACAUAACAUUUUCUUCUUGUAAUCUUGAUUAUCCCAGAGCAUAUGAAGUAAAAUGCUAAAAAUAAGAACAAAAAAUAAAACUAAUCAGAAUUUACA
rnacentral:lncRNA from 1 species